CCUUCACGUGCUGCUUAUGGCUCUUACCACAUCAGGCUGGUGUGUUUUUUUUUCCCGUUUAGCGCUGUGCCUGGGCGUCGGCAGAAUACCAUUGUGGUGAAGGUGCCGGUCCAAGAAGACAGCCACCACGAAGACGGGGAGAGCAGCUUGGAGGCCAGCGACUCUGUGUCCAGCUAUGGACAGGCGGGCAGCCAGAGCAUUGGGAGCAACGUCACCCUCAUCACCCUGAACUCAGAAGGAAUUGGUCCCAUGGACUUCCCAGUCGGUAGAAUGACUUACGUGGUAGCUCUUGGUGAUGCUGGUGAAGGCUGGUGAGGCACAGCUGGGAGAGUUGGGCAGCUGUGAGAGCUGUCAGCUGUGGCCAUCCUGCAGCUGCUACUGGCACGCUGUGCUGACCUCGUUGUCCCAGACCUCGUUGUCCACAGAACGUCAGCCAUGCACGUGGAAAUGAGAACA
rnacentral:lncRNA from 1 species